rnacentral:rRNA from 1 species
UACGAAGGGUGCAAGCGUUACUCGGAAUUACUGGGCGUAAAGCGUGCGUAGGUGGUUUGUUAAGUCUGAUGUGAAAGCCCUGGGCUCAACCUGGGAAUUGCAUUGGAUACUGGCAGGCUAGAGUGCGGUAGAGGAUGGCGGAAUUCCCGGUGUAGCAGUGAAAUGCGUAGAGAUCGGGAGGAACAUCUGUGGCGAAAGCGGCUCACUGGACCAUUACUGACGCUGAUGCUCGAAAGCUAGGGGAGCAAACAGG